ACUUCAAAGCACUCUCUGUCCUAUAAGAUAUUUUGUAAAAAAAUAAGUCAAAUAUUAUUCAUUCAAAAGAGCAAUGAAAAAAUAGGAUUUGAGCUGGAAUGCUAUCGGUAACAAACGGGCUCCGUUGCCACCCAUUUGUUUUCGAUGAUGGAGCCUCCAAAUCGACGAUCGGUACCGUUGCACAUGAUCUAUACCAACGGGCUCCAUUGCCACCUAUUUGUUUUCGAUGAUGGAGCCUCCAAAUUGACGAUCGAUAUCAUUGAACAUGAUCUAUACCACUUGAAUCAUCUAGAAAUUAAAUUUCAUACUUUUCCGAAAUUGUUCUCUUGUCCAUCAAGUGGACACAAAAAUGAACGGGUGAAAAUGAAUAUUCUCUGAAAAGUGAUGAUAGGAGUCUUGUAAUCAAGAUCAAGAGUAUAGAUCUUGUUCUAAAAGUUUAAAAAAAAUUUCAACCAAAAUUCAAUUGAUUUGAAUAUAUUUACACCGUUAAACGAGAAAAUGUCUUACAUCGAUCAUUAAAAUUACAAAUUUUGAAACCCUUUAAUCAUUAUGUCAAUAAUGUCGAAAAGAUUUGAAAUUUGAUUUCUAAAUACUUCAAGUAAUAUAGAUUAUGUUCAAUAGUGCUGAUCAUCAAUUUGGAGGCUCAAUCAUUGAAAACAAAUGGGUGGCAACAGAGCCCGUUUGCUACCCAUAGCAUUCCAGCUCAACUUGAAAAAAUAGAUAUAAUUUAAAAGGUGCAAAUAUUGAGAUCGGAUUAGUGUAGCACCUCAUUGCACGAUAAAGAGGCCGAUACCAUAAAACAUAAGCACCUGGAACUCCGGAUAUAAAGUAGAUUAUAGCUAGGAACCAGAUUUUUACACCUGAAGAUGACAGUACAUCACAUCAACUUUAUUUGAUAAAGAUAUUCACUGCUUAUAACAGCUUAAGCAUUGACUUAAAAAGGACACGUCAAGCUCUUCAAACAUACCUUCCCCCUUAAUCCAAGCAGCUGUAACUGCUAUAAUAUUCCAGAAGAGGCACAAAACCAAUCCAGUAUGACAUCCAAUUAAAAGAGUUAUAUGGUUCUUUAUUUUUAGGCAACCAUUUCAUCCUACCAAUGUACUCUCAUGUUUACAACAUGAAACUGAACUCUAGUAAGGAACCUGUAUCUCUCCUUCGGUACUCUAUAACCAAUCAAGCAUUGGACUCGUUGGUUUGUUUCUAAUAUAAGCAAAUAUGUACUAUCUGUGUAUCCAUGUGCUUAAAAGAUGAUAUUUACAUAAAAAGAUUGACUUCUAUGGCAAGAAUAAAAAAAGUAGGUUUACCUAUUCAUUUAUAUACGUAAUCUGUGCAAUAAAAUCAGCCAUCAUUGAACAAACAAUAAAGAAUGUUCCAAAAAAAUAAAGACAAAAUGAUUGAGCAGAAAAUCAAUCUAGGUAAUACCAAAAGAUGCCACCAUAGGUAAGAAAAAUUUGCUCCCAAGUACACAAAAAACAUCUGAAUUGUCAUGUCCAAAGAGCUUAUCAAGAAAGCUGUAUUAUAGUACUGUUAGGGCAAGCCUGAUCACAACCCCUUUACUUUUGGUUUCGUGUAAGCUAAGAUAUAAGAACAACACAAGGCAGUCGAUGAACUAUGUGCUAGUAAGUCAACCUGAUCUACAGCUGCUUAAGAUCCGAGAAUAAGAAUACAAUGAGUUCAGUUGAGCCUAUAUUUUAUUUCACUUUAUUAUAUCAAGCCAAUUAAUCAAUUAUGGAUUCUAAAGUGAGUAUAGGUUAAGUCCAAUUGUGUUUUUUAUUAUCUAGAAUUUAUGCUUCAUCCAUUCUUUUUUUCCAUGACAAAUCUCUACAGCAGAACCAGCUAAUUUCUGCAGAAAUUUUUGUAGCUUCAGUUUCUGCAGAAACUUACACGUGUUCACACUUCACAGCCAGUAGCUAAAGGAAUGGAUCUAGUCUAUUCUAUCUAUUUGACAUUCUCUAUACAAGAGUAUUCCUUUUGUUUAGCAAGUUAUGCACAUUGUUAAUGACUGAAAAGUAAAGCACAAAAGCUAGGAUGUUAGCAGAAGAUGAAGUCAUACCUAACAAAGACGCAAAGGCAAAGUACUGCAUUCUUUGAACGUGGAUGGGUAUCUCAUUUGCAAUAUCAUGAUGUAUAAUGGGGAAAAAAGGUGGCCAAUUUUUCUCCUCUAUUACAAUGCCAGCUGCAAAAGUUAAACAAUGUACCAUAUAAUAAGAUCUUGCAAAGUCAAUCUACUUAGCAAACAAAACAAGAAGGAUGCCGACACAGGCUGAAUCAAUUGAUAAACAUCAUUGCUUCAAAAAGCUGCCUAUGCAGCCACAUAUGCGGUUCGGACCAUCAAUCACACCAUAUAUUACAUAUUCAAUGCAGUACGCAGUUAGACCACAUAUGCGGCCCCGCCCACGGGGGAGUGUAGUGGAGAUACGGUCCAUGUGCGCACAUGGAUGGUGUAAUUAUUAAAUAAUAAUCCAAUCCGUUGUCCAAAUCCGAUUUCUCUCUACCUUCGCAGAAAAAACAUUUAAAAUAAUACUAUUAUAUUAGCGACGUCAUAUUUUCAACUAAUCAAAUAAUUUUUUUAAUUAUCAUCACAUCAUAAUUAUAAAAAGUAUUUUUAUUGUUUUUUUUUGAAAUUUUUUCCUACGCGGGAGAGAGGGCAUCCUCGCCGGAGCGAUCGAGGGUGUCAUACUCUUACAGAAAUAAUAACAUACCCCAUCGUAUUCUUACAGAUAUAAUCGCAUACCUGAGUUGGAUUUUCAGCAAAAGAGAGUGGAGCUGAUUUUACUAGCAAGUGGUGCAUUAUAUAAGCCAUCAAACUCAUCAAGCCCAUCGACCCACCUGUGUAGUUACGGACGAGCAUCCGACAGUGGAACUUAAUUUUCUCUAAAACAUAUGCGUAAACGUCAUGAGCAGAUCUGGAGUAUCAUCUUUUGUAAACAAACUAUGCUUAUUGUCCAAUCUUGGCUAGUCCCGAGCCAAACUAGGAUGAGAUCCGAACCUGUUGAGUCAAAUCGGCGCAGACAGAUGGUACACCGGUGGUCCAGCAAAGAUAUGAAUUUUUCCUGUACACCGGGAGUACUAGGAAAGCCAGUGAUUUGGAAUUUCGUGCCAAUUCAAGAGAAGUUACAGUAACCACAAGCAGUUGCAAGCGGUUCCGAUCAGCUGAAGGUGGUCCGCAUAGCCAGGGUAGUGGCCGAUCAUGGAAAUAGAAUAACUGACUAAUAGGGGAGCGGCCUAUAAAUAGGGUAACAAUGCCCUAAAAAGAGGUCUUUUCCCUACGAACAAAAGACCACCCUUAUUUCCUCGCAUUUACAAGCAUUUCUUAGGAGUAGUCUACCUGUAAUUUUUACUGCUUUUCUCUAGGAGUAGUUCUAAGUUUAGAAUCCUGGAGUCUGUCUGCCCCACGGGCAUCACUCCGUUGUAAACUACCUACCACUGUAAACCCUAGCAAGCAGAGCAAUAUAAGGUCUUCUCGGCUCUUCAAGCCGACCAGAUAUUGAGCUAUUUAGCCAUUCGGCUCAACCUGCUGAUCAGUUCGUGCUUCUUCCUGCUCAUUCGGCUCUUCGGCCGACCUCCGAUCUUGUUUGAUUCGUACAUUCGGCUCGAUCAGCCGAACUGAAUUUACCAUAAAGCUUUCGAACUCGGCUGGCUCGAUCCCUCGUCAGCCGAAUCGCUUGAUCUGUCGAAAGGCGCACACUUCGAGGAUCAUUAUCUGUAAACGUAUCACACCCCGGCACAACCCCCGAGGAGGAUCUUUGACCGAGUCAAGGGUCAGGAGAAUAGGCUACCUAACAGAACCCAAUAAGCUACCGAAUGGAUACCGGUAUUCAGAGGUAAAAAAGGAAAAAAAUACAGAUGAGAGCAACUGGUAUUGCAUUAGCAACUUUCUUUUCCUUCCUAAUCUAAUUGGAGGAAGAAAGCACACAAGUAUAAUAGCAUUCAAGCAGAUGAACUUUGUUAGGUCCAGAACCUGAAAAGAUGUGAUUAGCAUUGAUAUUGAAAAUUCUCAGAAUUCAAUGAUGACGACAAGCCCUUUGCUUACAUGGUAAUUAAGUGUGCAAGCAAUCAUUUGUCAAUGGAGACAACAUGCAAACCUGAGCAUAUUUACGAAAAGGUAGUCCUUUAGAGAAGAUUGUAAAGGUGAGAACAGAGAGCAAAAGAGAUGUACCAUAAAUAAUUUCCAAACAUGGAGAUUCAGCUUUGAAAUUUCAAACAUAAUCAGACGAAAAGAACUCCACCUCAUAACAUAUAUCAGAAGAGAUGAAUACAAGCAAGUUUAGGCAUUACUUUUUGCUACUAAAUAAGAAUCAUUGCUUUCCACAAAUGUGGCUUUCCAAAAGUACCCAAUGCCAACAAGAGAAGAUGAGGUGCAGCAAAUCAGAAUUACAAUAUGAAAACUCUCGACUCUCAUCAUUAGUGUAAUUAAAAAACACGAGGAGAAAGAUCAACGGCCAAAACUUUCUGAAAUACAUGAAAUCAGCACAAACAGUAAGCAACAUAAGUCUCUCUAAAUGACCUGCAAGCAACAAAACAAACUAGCUGACAUAAAUAUUCAUCAAAGAUGGAAAACCUUUACCUAUUUUGAGGCCGACCACCUGGGCCUCUACCUCUACCAAAGACAUGACGACCUCCUCUUUGAUGAGGCUGUUUACCACCAGACAAUGAGGUCCCAAGAUUAAAUUGCACAGGGGUGUGUGCUCCUGCUACAGUGGGUGGUGGUUGUAUAUAAUUCUGAUCAGUAGGAAAACAAGAAAUGCCUUGGCCUUGCAUAUUGCUGCAGCGAAUUGGCACCUGGCCAAAGUUACCCUGUCCCAUAGGCACGACAGUCAUUACAGUGGGAGAUGGAUUCGCUGACCCACCAAUCAUUAAUGGAUUAGUAGGAAAUCCAGUAUUGGGAAAGAACUGCUGUUGACAUGGCAUUCCAUUAAGGAGGAGAUUUAAAUUCUGAUUCUGAUGUUGUUGCUGCUGAUUAUUAAUCUUCAGAUGCUGGUUUUGCAACAUAUUUGUCACCAUUCCUUGGAUGCCCAGAUUCUGCUGCUGUUGAGGAGGAAACACAUUAGGCAAAAAAGCAUUUGGUUGCUGUUGUAAGAACUGCAGAGAUGGGUUGAUUAAGCAGUUGCCCAUCUGAGCUGCAAUUGGAGCUGUAGGAACCAUAGGACCCGUUGGAACUGCUGGAACCAUAGAAGAAGAUCUUAUAAAAGAGUUUCCCGUUCCAAAAGAACAUCCAGGUUGGCUAAAAGGCGCCGAUGCAUGAGGAAGCGUAGACAGCUUCUCCCUCUGAAUGCCAUGAACCUUAAAAUUUGGCUUCUUAUUUUCAAAUUUUCUAUUCCCAUGUUGCUGCCUAUCAUUAGCACCCCUCUUUGCCUGUCUUAGAGAUUUUCUGUACUCGGCUUCCUUCUCAUCAUCAGAGAACUCAACCUCAUCAUUUAGCUCUUCAUCAUUCUCGCCCGAUGCAUCAUAGCCUUUCUUAUAGAGUUCCUUUUCAUUGAGAAUGUGAUUAGCAAACUCAGGAACAAAAGAGACAGGAGUGCCAACACUGAUCCCAGCAGGCAGCUCCUUGUCAGAAUUGUAUCUCACAACAUAAUAGGGAUUCUUUACAGGUCCAAAUAUUUCAUCAACGAGACCCAAUGCUUUCCUGCUCUCUGAUAUCCAGAGAAUAGAACCCUCGUUGAGAGGAUUGUGUUUCUCCAAGCCCUCGACAAUGACUCUGUCACCCAGCAUCUGAAAAAAUAAGAGAAGGAAAUGGCAUAGUCAUACUAAAAUUAGGGGGAAUAGCGGCAUGCUGAACAUUAUGCUUACCAUCUGAACAAAAAUCAACUUUUAGAGUAAUCUAGAUAUACCUAUUUAAUAUAUGAUCUCAACCAGUGCUUAAGUGUAACCUAGAUAUAUCUAUCUAAAUACAUGCUUUCACUCAGUAGUUAAGUGUAAUCACAUGUAUAGUUAUGCCUUCUCAACAAAGGCUAAAAGUUGCUUCCCAACAGCUUCAACAUGUUCUGCUUGAUGAAGAACAAUGACACAAGCCUGUAUGCAGGUAACCCAGACAGCAAAACUUACGCUUCCUAUAUGUCAAAAAAUUAAAAUUAUAGACUUAUGUUGGUACAUGCUAUUACUAUUUUCACAAUGUAAGAAUGAAUCUAUUCCUCCUCAUGUUAAUCAACUUUCUGACACCUAAAAUGCAUGGAAGAAUUGUGCUCUUUGUUGUUGUUUUUCUUAAAGAGUUUUUUUUUUUUUUGGGUGAAACACUAAACAUUGCGACAUCAAAUUAGCCCUCUGCUUGCAAUGGAAAAGAUCGAUAAAAAUAAACAGAGAGAAAAGAUUGGGCAUGUUGGUUCAACAAUAACUCACCGAGGAAAUUACGCCAACAGGUAAUGUCUGAUGAUGUGGUUCCAAGUGCACUUCAAUUUUAGAAACUGGUGGGAGAACCUGCGGAACAUGUUUUAUCUAUCAUUAAACAAAAUAUUCACGCUAAACUUCGAAACCAUAUAUGCAAAAUAAAGGGAAAGACCAAUUCACUUAGAAAAGAAAAGUUCAGACUAGCAAAAUCAGGAAAUGAACGGCAUCAUACCUCGAUUUCAUGCUUGGACCUGACAGGACCUUUCAUAACACCCUCAUCCCCAUCACUGCCAAUUAUUUCACCGUCUUCGACAUCUACUGCCUCAUCCACCAUUCUAGCUUCUUCUCCAUCAUUGCCGACGUCUUCUUCAUCUUCUUCCUCUUGGCUACUUGUAGAGGAAGAAGAGUGCUGACUAGAUGAAUCCUCGUCAUCGUCGUCGUCGUCAUCGUCGUCGUCAUCAUCAUCAUCAUCAUCAUCAUCAUCUUCUUCAGACUCUGUUUCUCUGCUCUCUUGCUCCUCGCCAACCUGAUCACUAACCACAUGAACCUCAGAAACCACAUCUUCUUUAGGUUCUUUCGCACCCUGAUCCAAUCCAAUUGUUUCUUCUUCGCCUGCAAGGCUACCACCGCUAGAACCCACUACAGCAUCAUUAACACUGCUACCAGUCACAUUGAUGACGCUAUCCUUACUUUCCACCGCGUCUGGGCACGAAUGAACAGUGCCGCAGUCGGAGUCUUCGACCAAGUUAACCUUAUUCAUCUCCUCAUGUAUGAGCAAGCCCUUCGGUGCAUCUUCCUUAGUCUCCAAAUCGCACCUUUUGGCACCAUCGUCAUCGCCGAGCAUCGCGGCGGAGUCGAAAUCGAGAAGCCACUCCUCGACGGGGUCGAAGUUGGGGAGGAGAAAGGCGUCGACUUCGUCGUCGAGCCGAGGAUGAGGAGGAGAAGAAGGGUCACGAGAAGGGUGGGCUCUGCCGUCGUCGUUUCUAAUAGCAGGAGAGUUCCAUGACCGUACCCCCACCAUGGACGAUGAUAUAGCGGCUAUGGAUUUUGGUGCGAGCUCGGUGGACUUGUGUGGAAGCUACGAUGCUGUAGUAAAAAAUAAUAAUAAACCAUAUUAUGCCUUAAAAUAAAAAAUAAUUAAGCAAAUAAGUUGCCAAAGAUAGUCCAUAUUUAAAUGUAAAAUAUAAAAGGUUCACAUACAAACAUAGUUAAAAACUAAAUACAAGAUGAAAUUGACACUUUGUAUAGUUGCCUGGUUGGCUAGAAAGAGCACCACAAGGCUCCAUCAAAUAUAUUGGAGGUUCUGAAAUUCCUGGUACCUAAGUUAAUUAAGAUUAUUUAGCUCUAUGUUUGGGUCUUCUUUGUGCAUAACAGAAUGGACACAUUCAAUUAAGCAAUAAGCAGUAAGCACUCGAGCCAUUUGUGUAUAAAAAAAAAUCCAUCAGGACUAAAAGCUUCCAACUUUUGCUUUGAAGAACGAAACUCAAAUCGUACCUGGUUUGUAUUUGUAAAGAACCAUCCGAUUACUGAUCUAUCGUUGGAUAGUGGAAGCGGAAGCGGAAGCGGAAGCGGAAGCAGAAGAGGAAGAGGCGACGAGGAGGGUUUCGAUUUCUGAAGAGUGAAGAACUCGAUCUUCGAUCUUCGAUUUCUGAAGAGGAGGGCUUCCGAUGGCGUUCGGCGAGCGGCCGGAAGGGAAGAGGGGGACCGCCGCAGGGGUCGGUGGCAGGGCCGCACCGCCGCAGCCGCAGGGGUGAUAAGUUAGGGCAAACCCUUUUUUUCGGAGGGGUGGGGGUGGGACUCGUGGGAGGGAGAGGGAGGCGAUUCUUUUCAGGAAUGGUUUUUUUAAAAAAAAAAAAAAAAAAUUGGGCGACAAGGCGAAGCGAGUUUCUUUGAACGGUUUUUUUUUUCUGUUUUGGGCCACCCGCGAGGCGCAUGAGUCGUAGCUCGCAGGUCGUAGGCUCGUAGCUCGCAGGCAGCAAUCGGGCCAUUUUUUUGGGACUGAAUUAUUCGCGAACCGUAUUUCGUUCGCGAAUAAUUACUUUUGCUCAAAAAAAAUGAAUUUUUUUGAAUUUUUGGGGUAAAAUUCGAAAACGGCUGUUUUAUUCAGCAUUUCAAAAAUUCGUGAAUAAUGCACAAAUAAUUCACGAAUUAACUAACUAUGAUAGCGGCUAGGGAUUUCAGUACGAGCUCGGUGGAAUUGUGUAGAAGCUACGAGUACGAAGCCUAUAUAUAUUUGGGAACUCGUAGGAGAGACGAGAGGGAGGAGGGUUUCGGCAGGACAGCGAAACAACAGCGGCAGCGGAAGAGCGCUGAAGACUUGCAUGGCGUGGCCUUUUAUUAGGUUAUACGUUAUAGACAGCAACACAUAUAAACAUAAACAUAUUUUCCUUCAGGCACACGAAGUGUGAGGCCCAGUAAUGCGCGCCACAGAAACUCUCGAACCAUUCACUCCUGGACCGCUCCUACGAGGCCCAUUUGGAAUCCGCUGUUCAGUGUUCAGGCCCACAUGCCAAGACGGUGCCUGCGGUGGCAACGCACCCGGCCCGUGCAUUGAUUCGGUUGCUGGGCCAGGCCGUGUUAGAUUUUCUCGCAGCCGCACUUUUAGAUCUGGCCCGACUUUCUUUAUUGGGCCAUAGGCGCUUGGUUAACGAACUGGCCAGACCAUCUCUCAUAUAGGCCGUAUCUUCAUCUCUUCUGCUUUCUACCUGACUAUACUAGGUCGGAAGAACGAGGGCCUUUUGAGCUGAAAUUUGGUGUUAUCUGACGCAAAACAGCCCCUCGGGCCUGUUGCGAGACAAUUUGAUGAGGAUACUACGGCCCCUCAGCGCUUUAUAGUCAGUCCGAGACAAUUUGAUUAGAUGGUAAAAUUUGAUUUUGAGAUAAUUGAAAAUUAUGGAUCAUGUUUGUUGUCAAAAUGAAACCCCAAUUGUAGCAGGUUCUAAUGAUUCAUAAUUUGGGAAACAGAUGGAACUCCACUCAGUCCAAGCCGGGCCAAAGUCAUGGACUAGUCAUGCCUGGACCAACAAUACCGGGGAUCAUGCUACGUGUGGCUUAAUGGUCAGGCCCAAUUCUUAUCAAGACUCCGCCCGUAAAUAUUUUUUUGACUCAGCCCCACGGAAGGCCCAUUUAACGUGAGGCCUCCAACUUCGCGUCAAAAAGUGAAAACUUUCUACUUCAGGUAAGAACCUGAGACUUACCAAAAGUAGACCUAUCGUUGUUAAGUCUAGUUUUGGUAUGUCUCGGGACUUACCCAAAAAAAGAAAGUUUUAGUUUUUGACGAAAAUUUCACCCGUCGAACCGGUGGGCAUCACAUUCAAUGGGCCGUACGAACGGACAAAACGAAUCCGGUCUCGGCCGAUUAUCCGCCCUUUGCUUGUAAUGUGGGGCGAUUGUGUGGACGGUGGACCCUGCCCUCUGUGCUGUUAUGCCGACCCGAUUCCCUUAUUUUUAUAGGCCGUGUUUUCUCCGAUUCCCAUAUUUUGUAUAGGCCGUAUUUUUUGGGCUGGGCUUUCCCUGAGCCCGGCCUUCUAAAUUAGUGCGUUUAUUAUCCGCCUGUUGGACCAUACAUCUGGCGCGACCUGGCCUAUGGAGCACUUCUGCGAAAGAGUACACUUAAUCCAAAGAGAACCCAUCCCAAUUAAUAAUGCGAGAAGAUGCAGGAGGAUUUUACGGAGAUGGUUGUUGCCUACUCCGUCGCUCUUCUCCCUACUGACCCGGACGUUACUUUGAACUCAGUCCUUAAUCCCCUUUAUUACAACGUAUAAAAUAUAAAUUAAAUUAAAUAAAGUAUCAAGUCAAAAAUCCAAAAAAAAAAGAAGAAAAAAAAAAGAAAAAAAACGGGUAGGGCCUUACUUGUGCGCGGAUGGUGAGAGGCCGAAGUUGUAUCCUCCUCCCGGUUAAUUUGCUUGUCUGUGCAUCUUCCCGUUCCCUUCCUUCCGAGUAUCUUUCUGUAAAAUAAAGAAAUAGCAAGCACCUGAUAGAGAAUCCCAAAAGAAAGUUGAGUAAAAUUUAACUGAGAGGAAUAGAUAAAAAAAAAAAGAAAAAAAGAAAAAAAAUAAAAAGAAAAAUGGCGACCAUGAAGCUGGGCUCUAAGGCAGAAGCCUUCUAUCUGGAAGGCCAGACGUGGUACUCUUAUUAAAAUUUCUCAUCCCCAUUCCUACUUGGUCUCUUUCUACUUAUUGGCUUCUUUCCUGAAUAAUUAAAUGUGACAAACUACAGUGUCGGUAGGCUUACAAACAGAGAUCAAUGAAUCAAUAAUCACCUCUACAUUUACAGAAAGCCAAUAAGGCUUCCUAUUAUUGAAAUUUCUGUCUAGAGUGCUCUCCUUCAGUCACCAGCUCUUGCCUUCUUCACAGGAAAUGCGUGACUGAGCUCGUAAGCGAUGUUGUUGUUGAAGUUGGAGAAAUGUCCUUUCAUCUCCACAAGGUAUUGCCUUAACUUGGUUUUGAUCACAAAUGCAGUUAUUUCGAUUGUGCAAUUUUCUUUCUCCGUUUCAUAUUUUACACGUUUUGUGUAGCUAGAAAUUAAACUGUCGAAUUUAUAGGGCUUGUGCCCCUAUAUCUUCCUUCAAAAGGAAAAACAAAAUAAAAAGAAAAAAAGAAAAAAAGAGAAGUAAUUACUCUAUUUAUUAGAUGGAACAAUAUUAAAAUUUCUUUGCUAGAUUUGUCUAGUUAGGAAAAUUGUGCAGUAUCACAUUCCAUUUUUAGGUUAAGAGAAUGGAUCCUGCUUGCUUAGUCUAACCCUUAAUUUUUUUUUUAAGAAUCGAUUUAUCCCAAAGCAAUUUUCCUAUAUUAAAAAAUCAUUAAAAUUGUAUUCUUUGUUUGUUGAAAUUUUCAUCAUACAUGACCAAGUGCAAACCACGAUAUUGUAGUUCCCAUUGCUCAACAAAAGUGGGCUUCUUCAAAAGAUGAUCAGCGAAUUCCACAGCGGGGAGGAAAAGAGUUGCAUUCUGCAGCUCCAUGAAGUUCCUGGCGGCGCCAAGUCCUUUGAGCUGGUGACAAAGUUCUGCUAUGACGUGAAGAUCGAACUGAACGCCCUUAAUGUGGUUUGCUUGCGAUGUGCUGCUGAGUAUCUUCGCAUGACCGAAGAUUACGCAGAAGGUAACCUCAUAGCGCAAACAGAAAACUUCCUUAAUGAAGUAUUCGGAAAUUGGAAGGACUCGAUUAAAGCUCUUGAAACUUGCGAAGAUGUUCUCCCCUAUGCAGAAGAGCUACAUAUCAUCUCGCGAUGCAUAAAUUCUCUUGCGUCUAAAGCAUGCGCAGAUCCCGGACUCUUUGGUUGGCCUGUAGGCGGAAAAUCAACUUCAGUUCUGUGGAAUGGAAUAGGUAAUAAUUCUGGAGACGGUCAUAAAUCAGCAGGUGGAGUGGACUGGUGGUACGAAGAUAUUUCUUUCCUAAGCCUACCUUUAUUCAAAAGGCUUAUCCAGGCCAUGGAAGCCAAAGCCAUGAAGCCCGAGAAUAUAGCAGGAGCUCUCAUGUUCUAUGCAAGAAGGUUCCUUCCGGGCCUGACGAGAAACUCGAGCUUCCGCGAUGGCACCACCGCGCGCAUAAAUCCAACCACACCUGUCUCAGCACCAUCUGAAAGCGAUCAGAGAGUCUUUCUUGAAGAGAUAGUUGGAUUACUGCCUGCGAAGAAAGGUGUGGCAUCAACCAAGUUCUUACUUGGUAUGCUUCGGACUGCGAUGAUUUUGCACGCAAAUCCUUUGUGUAGAGAGAACUUGGAGAAAAGAAUAGGUGCGCAGUUGGAUGACGCUUCGUUGGAAGAUCUGUUGAUACCGAACUUGGGCUACUCGGUAGAGACUCUGUAUGAUAUAGAUUGCAUGCAGAGGAUCGUGGACCAUUUUAUGAUGGGGGAGCAAUUGCAAACAGCAGGUGGUGUUGCUUCUCCAGGCAUAGUGGAAGAGGAGGGUGGGCCUUUACCUUUAAUGGACCCAACUCCCUCACUGACUCCUAUGACAAUGGUUGCCAAACUGAUGGAUGGUUAUCUUGCAGAGGUUGCGCCUGAUGUUAAUUUGAAGCUCCCCAAGUUUCAGUCCCUCGCGGCAGUUAUACCAGAUUAUGCAAGGCCUCUUGAUGAUGGCAUCUAUCGUGCCAUCGACAUUUACCUUAAGGUAGCAUGCAUUUCUAUCUAUCUAUUAUAUUUAGUGGAAAAUUUGACCUUUCUCUGCUUAGAAUCACAAUGAUACUUUGAUAUGUCAAGCAUAUACCAUUAACAAAAAAUAGAAGUUGUGUUUCUGGGAUUUGAGAAGAGCAGAUGGCCUUUUUUUCCUUUCUUCCAGUGGAUGCUAGCUCUUCUUUUUGGUUAGUUGUGUUGGAUUUCUCCUUUUUAUAAAUGUAUACAAAGGGAAUCACCCUCGGAUAUUUUCAUCAAAAAAAGAAACAUUAACAAUUUGACCAGAAAGAAGAUUUCUGAAUUAUCGUAUCUAAUUUCACCUCAGAUACUUAUAGGUGUAGGAGCCGGUGAAAUUAGCACCACAGGCCUGAUUGUUUUAUCGACUUUUGAAUUUUGAGUUAAAACAACAUAAUGAUAUACUCUGCUACUUUCAAGCUUGGAAUCUUUAGUUCCACAAAUUAUCUAUAUUCAUGGCAAUACAUUAAAAAUGAACCAACACUCCGUUAGUAUUCUGUGCCUAAAAAGGUUCUUCUUUGUCUAUACCAUUUCCAAAAAUAAGUUGUUACGCAGCUUCUGAAAAAGAGAAGGGCAAUUUGUUGUAUAGACAAUGAUAUCGAAAUAGCUGCGACGUCCAUUCUGUUUCAUAAGAAGAUUUUAGCUUGCAUGGGGUUUCCAACCAUUUAUGUUUUUGGCUAUUGCAACAUUGCAGUCGCACCCGUGGCUCACCGAGUCCGAGCGUGAGCAACUCUGCCGACUGAUGAACUGCCAGAAGCUAUCAUUGGAGGCCUGCACACACGCUGCUCAGAACGAGAGGUUGCCCCUCAGAGUGGUGGUCCAAGUCCUCUUCUUCGAGCAGCUCCGCCUCCGGACCUCAAUUGCCAGCUGGUUCUUCGUCUCUGACAGCAUGGACAACUCGCAUGGGCCCCACACCAAUCUGAUGCUUCACAAGAACAAUGUCGACGGAGCAAUCCAAGCAGAGAUCACUCAUGAACAACAACACAAGGAUGACAGCUGCCCCCCUGUGGGGGUUGAAGACAUGAGGCUGCGAGUUUCGGAGCUUGAGAAGGAGUGUUCGAGUAUGAAGCAAGAAAUUAAUAAGCUUGGGAAGACUAAGAGUUCAUGGAACAUAUUCACUAGGAAGUGUGGUUUCGGGGUAAAGGCGCAAGAUACAGUAAGCGGCAAGUGAUUACUCUUGAUUUCUAGGAACAGUUGACCUGAUCAAAAGCAGAAGCUAGAAAUUUUAGGAUAUUGAGGAUAUCAUUAAUUACUGGUAGGAAUUUAUUAAUUCUUAUGUAACUAUAUUUAUGUUGUCCCAUUUCUGUGCAAUUUGUUGUGGCUUUUCCACUGUAACACCUGUUAUUCCUACGAAUGAUCAUGCAUAUAUCAGCUACUGUCUUCAGGAUUCCACAAAUAUAAACAUAUACUUAAUUUUCUUUGCAUCGGAAAAAAGCUGUCCUCUUUUAUUUGUUAUUGAACUCUUAAAAUCUGUCAUCCUAUGUGAGGUUGAAAUAUUCAAGUCUGUGCUUGUGAUAAUCACUAUACUCUUCUUUUCUCUACUUUUCUUUUUCUUUCUUUAACAUGCAUUCAAUAUUGGGAAACUUUGAAAACUGAAGUUAGCAUAUUUCUUAACAUCUUUUUGGUUUAUCGACACAAUCAAUAGUAAAAGAAAUGAUAUUAACGUGUCACAAAAGAUCUGCAACAGCAUUCAGAUAAAAAGAAUAAAAAAUAAAAAAUAAAAGACCUGCACUGAUCGGCAUGAUGAACUUUUUCCUAUUUUUCUCCCAUCAACAUAAUCAGAAUCAUCAAUCUCUUUACUGCCCGCUUUAUAGUACUUUCUGGAACUGUUACAAAUUCUCCCGCACGAUAUAGAAAACAAAAAGACUGCCUAUUGUUAAGAGCAAGAGAAAAGUUGGCUCCAGUUUAAACUCACUCCACACCUCUGACUACACUCUCUCUGUUUGGAAAAAUACGCUUUGAACAACACUAAGUAAUACUUUGAUCAUUUAUUUAUUUAUUUAUUAAUUCGCAAGUAAACGACAGUAGUGGGAAACACGUGGCCACGGGAUUUCAUUAACCAUCGAGUCUGCAGGCGGCGGGCCGCGUGAGGCGGGAGAGAAGCAGAGGGGGCCGGCCGGCCCGGGCAAAGAGAGCCGCGAAGGAUUGCGCCAGCCCCACUGCAAUUGCCAACUUCACCUGCCCGCGCCUCGGGAUCGGAUGGCUUGAAAGCCGCCUCCUUCUGAUGCCGCCGCCGCCACCGUUGAAUCUCCUCCUUCCGGCCAUCUCUCCCGAUCUUUAUUAGAUAUCUUGGUUCUCCCUCCCGGAGCUCUAAGUCUAACUAACAGUGAGCAGCCGAAUUGAAACUUAGUGGAGAUCGAGAGGAGAGGAAGGGAGA
rnacentral:lncRNA from 1 species